GACGAACGCUGGCGGCGUGCUUAACACAUGCAAGUCGAACGGAAAGGCCCUGCUUUUGUGGGGUGCUCGAGUGGCGAACGGGUGAGUAACACGUGAGUAACCUGCCCUUGACUUUGGGAUAACUUCAGGAAACUGGGGCUAAUACCGGAUAGGAGCUCCUGCUGCAUGGGGGGGGUUGGAAAGUUUCGGCGGUUGGGGAUGGACUCGCGGCUUAUCAGCUUGUUGGUGGGGUAGUGGCUUACCAAGGCUUUGACGGGUAGCCGGCCUGAGAGGGUGACCGGCGACAUUGGGACUGCGGGACGGCCCAGACUCGUACGUGAGGCAGCAGUGGGGAAUAUUGCACAAUGGGGGGAAGCCUGAUGCAGCGACGCCGCGUGCGGGAUGACGGCCUUCGGGUUGUAAACAGCUUUCGACUGAGACGAAGCGUGAGUGACGGUAAUGGGUAAAGAAGCACCGGCUAACUACGUG
rnacentral:rRNA from 1 species